rnacentral:rRNA from 1 species
UACGUAGGGGGCAAGCGUUGUCCGGAUUUACUGGGCGUAAAGCGCGUGUAGGCGGGAGCGAAAGUCCGGUGUGAAAGCCCCCAGCUCAACUGGGGAAGGUCCGCUGGAAACUGCGCUUCUUGAGGGCGGCAGAGGGAAGUGGAAUUGGCUGGUGUAGCGGUGAAAUGCGUAGAGGAUCAGCAGGAACACCCGUGGCGAAGGCGGCU